rnacentral:lncRNA from 10 species
CUGAUAUUGAAGGAGUGGCAAGGAGGGAUGUGAUGCCAGCCUUGGGUUAGGUCAAGACUUGUAGGCAUGAAGAGAGAGGAGACUGGACCAGACCAGGACUAAGAAGCCUGGCUGAGAACCAGCUGUGCCACGUAAGGGGCUCUGGGACCUCAGGCCAGCCACUUUCCUUGGAGCCCCAGUCCUCCCAGUUCUGAAAUGGGGGUGGUGAGAAUGCCUGCUGCAGUCAUGAGGCUUAACUGAGAUGUUGUAAAGGGGAAUUCAAAUCAGGGAUGGUUGUGCAGAUACUAGCCAUUACUAAACAAGGGAAGUGAUCGUUGUGUAACAAUGAUCUAGAUUAUAUUUUUAGAUGUCCUCAGUGUAGGUAAGUGGAGAUGGAGGAGGCUGUAAGAGUCAGAGGAGGGAAGAGGCAUCUCCAUGGAGGGAGCUUCCCUCUCCUGCCUCAGCCAGAAAUGCCAGCAGGGAGGAAGACGACAAAUCCCUAGAAUAGGUGUUGCUUGCUUUGGGCACAGAAUGAAAUUUAAAGUCUUCCCUCUAGAUUGUCACCUCCUUACACCCAGGAACUAAACACGUACCUCAUCUUAGCAUCACCCACACUACCUAGCACAGUGCCUUCGAUGGGUCCUUUGCUCAGCAAAUGUUUGAAUGGCAGAGUCAGGACUGAAAGCCGGUGCUCCUUCCCCAAACCGCACAACUCCUUGCCACGCUGACUGCCCCGAGAGUGGGGCGGGCACUCAGGCAUAUCACAGCUGAGCAUAUGAUGGAUGGCUAACACUUGGACUUGCUGGGAGGCACAAUUUGAGUGGAGUUUUAGAAAUAGACUCAUUCACCCUCUGAGACUCACUCACCCUCACUCACCCUCUGAGCUAUACUUUAUCUUGCUGUUGCUUUCCAAACAUGAAGUCACCACCACCUGGAGAAGCCCUCCUAGGGCUCGCUGUCCUACUUGGCAGCCCUGACAAACCAGUUCUUGCACAAGAUUAUAUAAAUUUUGAAAGGAAACCAAAAAUUCCAAGACUGUAUCUCAUGCUUUAUCCCUCCUCUCUGGGCAGGAUGGCCAGAGGCAGAGGCGACAGAUGUUGCCUUUGUCUUGAGACUGCCUUUCCUAACUUUUGACAGUCCUGACCUGCUGUGUCAGCAGGAUGGCCUUGGUGCAGCCAGCAAGACUUUGCUGCUGAAUCUUUUUUUUUUUUUUUUUUUUUUUGAAAUGGAGUCUCGCUCUUGUUGCCCAGGCUGGAGUGCAAUGGUGCAAUCUCGGCUCACUAACCUCAGCCUCCCGGCUUCAAGCGAUUCUCCUGCCUCAGCCUCCCGAGUAGCUGGGAUUACAGGCGUGCGCCACCAUGCCCGGCUAAUUUUGUAUUUUUAGUAGAGAUGAGGUUUCUCCAUGUUGGUCAGGCUGUUCUCGAACUCCCGACCUCAGGUGAUCCACCCGUCCUUGGCCUCCCAAAGGGCUGGGAUUACAGGUGUGAGCCACUGCACCUGGCCUUGCUGCUGAAUCUUAAGGUCCUGGCAGAGGAAGCCCCAGGCCACCCCUUUGGCUCCUCUUGGCUGGCCACAGUCAGGGAGCAGCAAACUGCAUUUAUUUUUGAGGUCAGGAUGGCAAUCUUGGAAGAAAACCUUUUAAUAAGCAGAGCUAGUUUGGGGCAAUUGAGGGAGAUGAGUUCCUGGUGGAUGUAGUGCGUGGGUUUGUAAUGGGGCAGACAAGGAUGACGAGGACACAGUCCAGGAGAAGCUGUUUGUGCCCCUCGUCCUGCUGCCACUUCCACCCACCUCAUUCCCUUCUUCCUCUUGCUUUCUGGUCUUUUUCCUCAGAUCUGAAUUCCACUAAAUUUCUGAAUUCCACUAACAUUUCUUGAAUAGCUGCUCUGUGUCAGGCAUGGAUGAUGGGCAUUUCCCCAGUAAGUCUUGCAGUCAGGAGUUUCGAGGGUAUCAUCAGCUUAGAAGAAGUGGGCUCUAGCCUGAAGCUGAGUUGUGUGGGGGAAAACACAGACUGACAGAGCCUAGCAGAAGGGAAACCUGGAAAUUUCCCUAAAAAUCUUUCAAAGGUACACAUGCUUUGACCCAGCAAUUUCAUUUCUAGGAAUUUAUGCCAAGGCGCCAAGUUGGGACAGAUGCAAGGACUUAGCUAGAAAGAUGCCUGCUAUUUACAAUACAAAAAAGCUGGCUGGGCACGGUGGCCCAUGCCUGUAAUCCCAGCACUUUGGGAGGCUGAGGCAGGCAGAUCAUCUGUGGUCAGGAGUUUGAGACCAGCCUGGAUAACAUGAUGAAACCCCAUUUCUACUAAAAAUACAAAAAAUUAGCCAGGCAUAGUGGCACGUGCCUGUAAUCCCAGCUACUUGGGAGGCUGAGGCAAGAGAAUCACUUGACCCUGGGAGGCGGAGGUUGCAGUGAGCCGAGAUCACACCAUUGUGCUCUAGCUUGGGCAACAAGAGCAAAACUCUGUCUCAAAAAAAAAAAAAAAAAAAAAAAAAAAGCCAUAAGCAGCAAACAUGUCCAGUAGAACUGGUCAAAGAAGCUGUGGACCAUCCACAAGACAGGAUAAAAUCCAAUGCACCAGCAAAGGGCCCAGCUUCCCUGGUCUUGUCAGCCUUGCCAGUGCUAAGAGUGGACAGGCACUCCCAGUUACCUGCGGCACCUCCACGGCAGAAAU